CAGCUUGUUGGCGGGGUAAUGGCCCACCAAGGCUACGAUGGGUAGCUGGUCUGAGAGGAUGAUCAGCCACACUGGGACUGAGACACGGCCCAGACUCCUACGGGAGGCAGCAGUGGGGAAUCUUGCGCAAUGGGCGAAAGCCUGACGCAGCAACGCCGCGUGCGGGAGGAAGGCCUUCGGGUUGUAAACCGCUUUCAGGGGAGACGAAGCUUCCAGGGUGAAUAGCCCUGUGGAGUGACGGUAUCUUCAGAAGAAGUCCCGGCUAACUACGUGCCAGCAGCCGCGGUGAUACGUAGGGGACAAGCGUUGUCCGGAAUUAUUGGGCGUAAAGCGCGUGUAGGCGGCCAAGUAAGUCUUACGUGAAAUCCUGAGGCUCAACCUCAGGCCUGCGCGGGAUACUGCUUGGCUAGAGUCCGGAAGAGGAGAGUGGAAUUCCUGGUGUAGCGGUGGAAUGCGCAGAUAUCAGGAGGAACAUCCGUGGCGAAGGCGGCUCUCUGGGACGGUACUGACGCUGAGACGCGAAAGCGUGGGGAGCGAACAGGAUUAGAUACCCUGGUAGUCCACGCCGUAAACGAUGGGUGCUAGGUGUGGGAGGUGUCGAUUCCUUCCG
rnacentral:rRNA from 1 species